rnacentral:rRNA from 1 species
GAUGAACGCUGGCGGCGUGCCUAAUACAUGCAAGUCGAGCGAACAGAUGAGGAGCUUGCUCCUCUGACGUUAGCGGCGGACGGGUGAGUAACACGUGGAUAACCUACCUAUAAGACUGGGAUAACUUCGGGAAACCGGAGCUAAUACCGGAUAAUAUAUUGAACCGCAUGGUUCAAUAGUGAAAGACGGUUUUGCUGUCACUUAUAGAUGGAUCCGCGCCGCAUUAGCUAGUUGGUAAGGUAACGGCUUACCAAGGCAACGAUGCGUAGCCGACCUGAGAGGGUGAUCGGCCACACUGGAACUGAGACACGGUCCAGACUCCUACGGGAGGCAGCAGUAGGGAAUCUUCCGCAAUGGGCGAAAGCCUGACGGAGCAACGCCGCGUGAGUGAUGAAGGUCUUCGGAUCGUAAGACUCUGUUAUUAGGGAAGAACAAAUGCGUAAGUAACUAUGCACGUCUUGACGGUACCUAAUCAGAAAGCCACGGCUAACUACGUG